rnacentral:misc_RNA from 1 species
CCGAGACACCGGCCCGACUGAGGGCCGCCUCUCCACACCCUGCGUAUGAACUUCAUAUCGUAAACACAAAGGCGAAUGUGUCUAAACAACCGAAUCAAAGCAAAGCAA